AUCAUUGGCCGGGAAUCGAACCCGGGGUGCCUACAUGGCAGGCGAGCAUUCUACCACUGAACCAAAAGCAAACGA
rnacentral:tRNA from 1 species